AUGGCUCUCUUCGAGGAGUUCUACGUGGGCUCCAUUGACAUAACCCGGCUUAACUACGGAAUCAUCACCAUCAUCCCCAAGGUACCUGGGGCCUCGGACAUCCGCCAGUUUCACCCGAUCACGGUGAUUAACGUGAUCUUCCGCAUCCUGGCGAAGGGGUACGCCAAUAGGGUGACCUCGCUGGCCUACCGUGUCACCCAUCCCAAUCAGUCGGCCUUCAUCCAAGGCCGAUAUAUUCUAGAUGGGGUUUUGGUCUUCCAUGAAGUCCUUCAUGAGGUGCGCGCCAAAAACCAGAAGGCGGUCUUCCUGAAAAUCGACUUCCAUAAAGCCUAUGACACGGUACAUUGGCCCUUCCUUCGGGAGGUUUGA
rnacentral:rRNA from 1 species